CUCCCUUCGGCGGGACGUAUAUUAAAAUAGGAACGAUACAGAGAAGAUUAGCAUGGUCCCUGCGCAAGGAUUACACGCACAAUCGUGAAGCGUUCCACAUUUAA